GCUCUCUUGGCUCAGGGGUAGAGCGUGGCACUCGUAGAUGCUGGCUAAAUGUGAGCACAGUAGGGAUGCCAAGGUCAUAAGUUCGAAUCUUAUAGGGAGCA